AGAGUUUGAUCCUGGCUCAGGAUGAACGCUAGCUACAGGCUUAACACAUGCAAGUCGAGGGGCAGCAUGAGAGGACUUCGGUCCUUUCGAUGGCGACCGGCGAAUGGGUGAGUAACACGUAUCCAACCUGCCCCUGACCGGGGGAUAGCCCUCCGAAAGGAGAAUUAACACCCCAUGGGUGUCCGUGCGGCAUCGCGCGGCCAUGAAAGGUUACGGUCAGGGAUGGGGAUGCGUCCGAUUAGCUUGCUGGCGGGGUAACGGCCCACCAGGGCGUCGAUCGGUAGGGGUUCUGAGAGGAAGGUCCCCCACACUGGAACUGAGACACGGUCCAGACUCCUACGGGAGGCAGCAGUGAGGAAUAUUGGUCAAUGGGCGGAAGCCUGAACCAGCCAAGUAGCGUGAAGGAUGACGGCCCUACGGGUUGUAAACUUCUUUUAUGCGGGAACAAAGUGCGCCACGCGUGGCGUUUUGCGCGUACCGCAGGAAAAAGCACCGGCUAAUUCCGUGCCAGCAGCCGCGGUAAUACGGAAGGUGCGAGCGUUAUCCGGAUUCAUUGGGUUUAAAGGGAGCGUAGGCGGAGCGCCAAGUCAGCUGUGAAAUCCCGCGGCUCAACCGUGGAACUGCAGUUGAAACUGGCGCCCUUGAGUGCACAUGAGGAUGGUGGAAUUCGUGGUGUAGCGGCGAAAUGCUUAGAUAUCACGAAGAACUCCGAUUGCGAAGGCAGCUGUCUGGGGUGCCACUGACGCUGAGGCUCGAAAGUGCGGGUAUCAAACAGGAUUAGAUACCCUGGUAGUCCGCACAGUAAACGAUGGAUACUCGUGGUCGGCGACACACUGCCGGUCACCAAGCGAAAGCGAUAAGUAUCCCACCUGGGGAGUACGCCGGCAACGGUGAAACUCAAAGGAAUUGACGGGGGCCCGCACAAGCGGAGGAACAUGUGGUUUAAUUCGAUGAUACGCGAGGAACCUUACCCGGGCUUGAACUGCCAAGGACCGUCCGAGAGAUCGGUCUUCCCUUCGGGGCCUUGGCGGAGGUGCUGCAUGGUUGUCGUCAGCUCGUGCCGUGAGGUGUCGGCUUAAGUGCCAUAACGAGCGCAACCCCUGUCUUCGGUUGCCAUCGGGUAAUGCCGGGCACUCCGGAGAUACUGCCAUCGCAAGAUGUGAGGAAGGUGGGGAUGACGUCAAAUCAGCACGGCCCUUACGUCCGGGGCUACACACGUGUUAUAAUGGGAGGUACAGAAGGCUGCUACCCGGCGACGGGAUGCCAAUCCCCAAAUCCUCUCUCAGUUCGGAUCGGAGUCUGCAACCCGACUCCGUGAAGCUGGAUUCGCUAGUAAUCGCGCAUCAGCCAUGGCGCGGUGAAUACGUUCCCGGGCCUUGUACACACCGCCCGUCAAGCCAUGAAAGCCGGGGGCGCCUGAAGUCUCUCGCUCGCAUCCUACUGCAAGGAGCGGCCUAGGGUGAAACACGGUGAUUGGGGCUUCUGAAUCGUACAAGGUAACCGUA
rnacentral:rRNA from 1 species